rnacentral:rRNA from 1 species
GUGGGGAAUAUUGGACAAUGGGCGAAAGCCUGAUCCAGCCAUGCCGCGUGUGUGAAGAAGGUCUUCGGAUUGUAAAGCACUUUAAGUUGGGAGGAAGGGCAGUAAGCUAAUACCUUGCUGUUUUGACGUUACCGACAGAAUAAGCACCGGCUAACUCUGUGCCAGCAGCCGCGGUAAUACAGAGGGUGCAAGCGUUAAUCGGAAUUACUGGGCGUAAAGCGCGCGUAGGUGGUUCGUUAAGUUGGAUGUGAAAGCCCCGGGCUCAACCUGGGAACUGCAUCCAAAACUGGCGAGCUAGAGUACGGUAGAGGGUGGUGGAAUUUCCUGUGUAGCGGUGAAAUGCGUAGAUAUAGGAAGGAACACCAGUGGCGAAGGCGACCACCUGGACUGAUACUGACACUGAGGUGCGAAAGCGUGGGGAGCAAACAGGAUUAGAAACCCGGGUAGUCC